rfam:Hordeum vulgare subsp. vulgare, WGS project CAJW01000000 data, contig: morex_contig_1592980
UUAUUACUCCCUCCGUCUCAAAAUUCUUAUCUUUAAUUUGUCUAGAUAUGAAUGCAUCUAGUCAUGUAUUUGUAUUUAGAUACAUUCAUUUUUAGCCGAUCGUAAGAGAAGAAUUUUGGGACGGAGGGAGUACUUA